ensembl:misc_RNA Metazoa_SRP Metazoan signal recognition particle RNA
GCUGGGCGCGGUGGCUCUCGCCUGUAAUCCCAGCACUUUGGGAGGCUGAGGCGGGAGGAUCACCUGAGGUCAGGAGUUCAAGACCAGCCUGACCAACAUGGAGAACCCCGUCUCUA